GAUGUUGGGUUAAGUCCCGCAACGAGCGCAAUCCCUAUUCUUAGUUGCCAUCAGGUUAUGCUGGGGACUCUAAGAAGACUGCCUGCGCAAGCAGAGAGGAAGGAGGGGACGAUGUCAAGUCAUCAUGGCCCUUACGCCCUGGGCUACACACGUGCUACAAUGGGAGGUACAGAGGGUCGCGAGCUAGCAAUAGUGAGCCAAUCUCAAAAAGCCUCUCUCAGUUCGGAUUGAGGUCUGCAACUCGACCUCAUGAAGUUGGAAUCGCUAGUAAUCGCGUAUCAGCAAUGACGCGGUGAAUACGUUCCCGGGCCUUGUACACACCGCCCGUCAAGCCAUGGAAGCCGG
rnacentral:rRNA from 1 species